rfam:Salmo salar isolate Sally breed double haploid chromosome ssa01, whole genome shotgun sequence.
UACAUUCACUACUGUAAGUCGCUCUGGAUAAGAGUGUCUGCUAAAUUACUAAAA